rnacentral:tRNA from 1 species
GCCUUUGUAGUGUAGUGGUCAGCAAGCUAGACACGUAACCGAGAGGUCCGCGAUUCGAUUUCUGGCGAAGGCG